GGGGCAUCCACAUCUUCUGUGGACAACCUGUUCCAGUGCUUACCAUUCCCCUGGAAUUUCUUCCUAGUGUCUAAUCAAAACCUGCAGUCUUUCAGUUUGAAGGCAUUCCCCCUUGUCCUGUCACUGCAUGCCCUUGCAAAUAGUCACUUUCCAUCUUCCUUGUAAAGCUUCCUUUAGGAGAGGUGCUCCAUCCCUCUGAUCAACUUGAUGGCCUCCUCUGCCUUACUCUAAGACCAUAGACUCAGAGAGAAUUCAGAAAGAUGCAUCAUUAAUACUUCAAUGCUGCCAUCUGGUAACUUCAGAAAUAAGUAAAGAACAAGGCCUUGGCGAAGACGAAACUGUUAAGAGGAAAAGAAAGAAUCAUUUAAACAGAGGCCUUUAGAAAGCAGAGGUUCAGAAGGAGAAUGUCUUGAGGUCAGCUUCAGCAUGGAAUAAGUUCAGCAUAGAGAGCAAAUCAUUCCACAGAGUGCAAUUCUCUGCUGGCCCAAAGUGGUGGCCCAGCACCCCCUGAGUACAGGGGGAAAUCUGGGGCACAGUGACUGGAGUCAGCUACUAAAGGACUCUUCUACACAUGAAUAUUCCCCUGCUUUGAGAAAAUUGCUACCUUUAAAGGGAAUAGAUACGUGAAAAGCACAACUGUACAUUAGACAUAGCAAGCUUUUUUCUGAAAAUAAAAGGUGGC